AUCGCUUUUCAGCCUUUUGGUUAAGAUCAGGCAUAGUAUCUGUUCUUACCAGUUUAAUAUUUGAUACAUACUCUAUCCAAGGAAAAUAUAUUAAAUGGAUAUUUGGAAUUAGGAGAUGGAAUGGGAGCUUGCUCUGUCCACUCCAUGCAUCGACCUGGCAUUGCAAUACUUCCAGGAACCACCCCAGAAAA